GGUCGGUUUGCUCGGUUCCUGC
rnacentral:siRNA from 1 species